rnacentral:rRNA from 1 species
GAUGAACGCUGGCGGCGUGCCUAAUACAUGCAAGUCGAGCGAACAGACGAGGAGCUUGCUCCUCUGACGUUAGCUGCGGACGGGUGAGUAACACGUGGAUAACCUACCUAUAAGACUGGGAUAACUUCGGGAAACCGGAGCUAAUACCGGAUAAUAUAUUGAACCGCAUGGUUCAAUAGUGAAAGACGGUUUUGCUGUCACUUAUAGAUGGAUCCGCGCCGCAUUAGCUAGUUGGUAAGGUAACGGCUUACCAAGGCAACGAUGCGUAGCCGACCUGAGAGGGUGAUCGGCCACACUGGAACUGAGACACGGUCCAGACUCCUACGGGAGGCAGCAGUAGGGAAUCUUCCGCAAUGGGCGAAAGCCUGACGGAGCAACGCCGCGUGAGUGAUGAAGGUCUUCGGAUCGUAAAACUCUGUUAUUAGGGAAGAACAAAUGUGUAAGUAACUAUGCACGUAUUGACGGUACCUAAUCAGAAAGCCACGGCUAACUACGUGC